rnacentral:lncRNA from 1 species
ACCCUGCAUUGUGCAUGGUGCAAAUUGCGAGGACCAUAAAGAGAGGAUGCUUGGUGACAUGAAAGGACCUCCGUGGCUGGCCUUACUCCCUGUGGAUGCCACAGCUGCAGGAUCCUGGGGCCCCAACAGAAGCCGGUGAAGGAAGAGUUCCUGCUCCAGCAGAACAAAACUGCCCUUUGCCCAGAAAUCCUGCAAACUGAGGCUGGACGACUUGAAAUACUCAUCAGCGAGAUUACCACGAAGCCCAGGUGCGAGGGACCCUCACGCCUGUUGCUGCGUGGGCCGCCCAGACAUCGCCAGAGACCAAACCGCAGAAGAUGCUCGGAGCCCAACAUCUACAAACCUGCCCCGCCACGGCCCCCAGGCUCAGAAACUGGUUUUUAGUCAGCUCCAAUGAUUAGCUUUUUUUUUUUUUCUUUUGUUUCCAUAGAAAUGCCUCUUCAAAGCAUUAUGGGACAACACACCCACCCAGUUUCUGUACCGUGGAGCUUCUUGGGGAAGUUUCAGACUAGGAAACAAUGGGGCUCAGGACACAUCACCCCAAAGUAUGACUGUAGGAGACCAGAAUACGCCACCCCUAAAUAUGACUAUAGGAGACCAGAAUACGUCACCCCAAAAUAUGACUGUAGGAGACCAGAAUACGCCACCCCAAAAUAUGACUGUAGGAGACCAGAAUACGCCACCCCAAAAUAUGACUGUAGGAGACCAGAAUACGCCACCCCUAAAUAUGACUGUAGGAGACUAGAAUACGUCACCCCAAAAUAUGACUGUAGGAGACCAGAAUACGUCACCCCAAAAUAUGACUGUAGGAGACCAGAAUACGUCACCCCAAAAUAUGCCAUGUUGACAUGUUGAUUACUUUGAGCUAAAAGCAACUGAGAACCAGCCAACAGAAAAAAAGCUCUUCAGCUCCCUAAAAUAAAGUAAAAAACUCUCUUUUCUAAAGAAAA